UCCAUGGGCGGGCCAUGGCGGGGGAGCCCUCGGGCUCGCCGGCUCCUUCUCACCGGUCUGCUAACCCUGCCUUGCGCCCGCCCGCCC
rnacentral:antisense_RNA from 17 species